rnacentral:lncRNA from 1 species
AGAGAUCUUUCACUCUAUUUAAAGGAAAGAAAUUUUUUUAUGUGUAUCGAACAUAUACAUUACACAGAAAAACAUUGAGAGUAAAGUUUAUUGCUUUCGAUAUACCCAGUUGUUAGAAAUGACUAAGUUUUUAUUUUCACAAAUACUUGCCUUUAUCCUUAUCAUUUCAGGUUAGAUAAUUUUCCAAUUUCAAAUAUUCUGAUAACAUUCUUCAAUGUUAAAUUGUUUAUUGAUCAAUGAUUUGUUCGAAUUCUAUUUUUCAUUUUUUAGUUAUCUCAAGAACAGGCGCAACAAAAGAACCAAAAAGAUGUCAAACAG